rnacentral:lncRNA from 1 species
UUUUUCUCUCUCCCUCUUCUACCAUUUUCAUUUGGUGCCUUCAAAUCCUAUUUCUCUCUACUCGAGCAGCCGUCCAGCAAGGGAUUACUUCUUCCUUUCCCUUCCCUUCAUUUCAUCCUAAACGGCGCACGACCCACCACCAGCCACCACUGCACAACUCAUCGUCGCUCUGUUGGUCGUUGCAUCAUCCCUCUACCCGCCGAAGAGUUGUCGCACUUCUCGCUGCUUCCUUCGCACUACAUGCACAAGGCCUUCUUCUAUAGACCCUUCUUCUUGGUUCAUUCUCAACCCUUCUGAUACUUACUCUGGUUUCUUCUACGGACCCUUCUUCUCUGGCUAUGGUGCAUUUAAAGUGAAACCCC